GGAAGUUCCUCCAGUAGGUAACAAGACCUAUUCAGUUCCUUUCCUUUUCUUUCGGUAGGGAUAGCUCAAUGUUGGGUGUUUCGGUAGGGAUAGCUCAAUGUUGCUUUCGUCUUUGGUCUUUCGUCAAUGUUGGGUGCUAGUUUGUCCGGAUUAUGGAAGGACCAGCUCUCUAUUGAAUCAAAAACACCGGGCUACCAUCUUGCGGAUAGCUUAAGGGGAAGAUGAACUAAGAAAUCCGAAAUGGGGUAUUAGGGCAAUAAAGUGACCAAACUCAAUAACAAAUAGGGAGGGCAAUAAAGUGACCAAAAAGAAUCUAUCGUUGAGAAGGAUGUGAAAGCCGACCCGGAGAACAAGGCAAAGAAAAGGCUAUACUGUAUUGAAGAAGGUCUCCAAAGCUAAGGCUAUACUGUAUUGAAGAAGGUCUCCAAAGCUCACUUGACUAUGAAAAAAGAGUUGUCCCGCUAAGCUAAUAAAUGCAUAAUAAGAGAGUAGGAGGUCAGCUCCUGCCCCGGACCUUUGAUCGAGUGGGAGGUCCCAUGAAGAACAUAUGCGUCGGCCUAUGAGGGGGGUCAAGAGAGAAGUCAAUGUCAAUGGAGAACUACAAAAUCCAAUGACUAUUCUUUUAGCGUGUACCAUUCAGUCAUCGAUCACAGCGAGUUACCCAAAAGCAUCGAUAAAGGUCUCUCUAUCAUGUGUUUUUAUAUAUUCUAUAUAGGUUUCCAUUCUUGCUAUGCCCUGCAUCGUGUUCGUGUGUCUUUAUUGAGCUAGCUUUAUUCACUUCAGUGCCAUGCGCUUUGCUUCGCUUUAUAGAAUAGAGAGACCGUUGGGGGGCUUAUUUCUUUUAAAGGGGAGUGGCAAGCGCAAGCAAUCGAUCGGAUAGUCCCUCUAGCAUUCAAGCAAACAAACAACUAUAGAUAGCAAAUGGUGAGAUCAAACGAUUCUUAGUCCAAUAAGGACCAACAACGAUCCUAUCUUAAAGGAGAAUCAAUCCGCUUAGGCUUCUUUAUAGAUGGAGGAUAAAUAGGAUUUCUAGAUGGAGGAGAAAUAGGACAAUUACGCCAUUCAGAAUCUUUCUUAUACAGAGGGAAGGAAAGCCAUAAUCCGUCUUUCUUAUACAGAGGGAAGGAAAGCCAGUUACGAGUAAGUGGAGAGGCCAGAGAUUAUUAUCUUAUUCCAGCUUAUUUCACUUAUCUUAUUCCAGCUUAUUAAAUAUAAAGGGCUCGAUCAGUAACCAAUGGCCAACUAGAUUCCCGGUAGAACCCCAUUUCGACCAAGUUCCGGAACCAUAAAAAGAAGCGGUGCACAGCGGUCCCACUUUGAUAUAGUAUUUUCCCGAAGAAGCAUCGUACAGGUUAGAGUUCCUACUUUAUUGGGACUCCAUAGACCAAGCAAGAUAGCUUUUUCAUUUAUAUGGUCCGAUCUACUUUGUUUGGAUCAUAUAGAUAUAGAUAUUAUUAUUUGGAUGAAUUGCCAUUUCCAUUACUAUUGGUUAAUAUCCAAGUUUCGUGUGUUCCCGGGAGGAAUUCCAUCUCUUCCAAAGCUACCUAAAUAAGGCCAGAGAGUCAAAUAGGUAGGUAGGUAGGCAAUAAAUAGUCUGAGGUCGGGUCAGACAACAUACAUCGUCGGCCACCACCACUAGAGAUAUUGUACAUUCUAUAGAAUCCAUCUUAUAAUCACAUUCUAUAGAAUUCAUCUUAUAAUCUAAUAACAAAGAAUGGAAAAGAAUGAAUCUUAGAAUCUAAUAACAAAGAAUGGAAAAUGCAUAGACGCAUUAGGCGCACUCACAGCGCUUUCCCUUGCCCAGAUCUGAUCCAUCUUCUAAGUCAAAAGGUAAAGGUAACCUGCCUAAGACAGAAAUAAGUAUCUACACAUGUUUACGCGAAGACCGUAUAACUUUGAGUUCGGUUAGUAUUAGUAUAGGGGACACUUUCCCGGACCAGAAGAUGAAUAGUCCAGCUCUCUAGCCUUAGGAACCAGUUUCGAAUAUGACUCUAGUAGGGAAGGCAUUAGAGGUGAACGAUCAGAGGUGUCUUCUAAUCACCAGGAUGAGGCUGGCUCUUUGGUAUACUCCGCUAUGAAUUCAGAAAUGAAUGCCGGACUAUCCUUAUUCAUUCUAUAGGGCACAGCUAACCCCCAAUAAAGAUCUGAUAAUGCUGAUGACUUCUUUGACGGCCCUGAACUUGUAGUCCUCCUUUUAGUGUAGGUUCAAUUGGAUUGGAUGAAUCCGUAAAGGUCAACGUACAUAGCAGCAAGGUGCUGAAAGCCUCUUUCUCGUUCUCGCUCGGAAGACUAAACUCACACGCCUGCUACCUACUGUAUGGAACCUUAAACCAGGCAUUCUCCCCGUUAUCGAAUCGGAAGCAAUCACAACUCCUUUCUUGUCCGCGGCUCUCGAAGAGUGGAGUGGGCGCUGGCCAGCAACUUCCGUGCCUUAGAUUUCUAUAUAGUAUAGGGAGGGCAUAGAUUAAUGAACAAAUCCAGACCCAGGUCCAGCCUCACAACCGUUCGCAUACAGAAUUGGACAAAGAGAAGAGAGUGCUCGACCGGAACAACGUAAAACCAUAGAACCCAGUUUUCACCCUAGCCUAGGAAAGAAAGACAGAAAAACAGAAAGAAACACGACCUUAACAGAAAUAAACACGACCGACCUUCAAAGACAGACAGUAGACCUUACUCCUUUUAGUAUAUAGUAUAAGUAAGAGCAACCAUUCUAUGACAUUUCUCCCCAGUUGACUUGAAUUUGUAGAUAGUAUAAGUAAGAGCAACCAUUCUAUGACAUUUCUCCCCAGCCCCGUUUACCUUAUUUUGUAGAUAGAAUCUUCAAUGAGUGGGAAAGGAGCAAACAACAGCAUCUUCUAAAUACAGGUUUGCGAAAGGAGCAAACUACCCCAAUUACUUAAGGGCAGCAUCUUUCUCUUUUUGAAACCCUUUCUCUUUACGUUUUGAUGCUUGCUCAGCAGUAGGAGCCUCAUACGGAGCCGCACCUUUGUGAUAUGAUAAGAAUAAAAGGAGCCUGGCCACCCUCUUUUCUUUUCUGCAUCAACCCGGAUUUUCAAAUGGGUGUAUAGCUCAGAUGGUAGAGCAUUGGGCUUUUAACCUAAUGGUCGCAGGUUCAAGUCCUGCUAUACCCAAAUAAACCACUCUUGUAUUCUACAGGAUGUAUUACCGUUCAAAGAUCACUCUGUAGUUUGCCUUGAGACUUGUCCCUUCCUUUCUCAUCAACAUUUCUCGCUUGUUGUGUGAGGUAAGUAUAAAGGAUAUAAGACUGGCUCGGUCAUCGAUAGGCCCCUUAUUCAUUGGAUAGGACGGGCGCGGGGUCGAGUCAAGCACUAGUGUUUUCUUUUUAGCAGCAGCGUUAGAAGCUCUGAAAGGAACGUCAAGAAAGGAAAGGGCGGCGUUUGUCUUAACGAUAUAAUUAUUACGCCAGAUUAGGAAGCUCAACAUAGGCUCGAAAGACGGCGAAGUCGUUAGCUACCUUUUAGUAGUGCGCAAGUCUGAAAGCACUCCUUCUUCUGUUCUGCCAAUCAAUCUACAAGCCAUAGUAGUCGAGCAGCAGAGAUAAGGUGAUUACUCGAUGUCCCUGGCGAAAAUAGUAGCAACUACAACAAGAAAUUCACUUCCAGAAUCCCAAAGGUCGGGUUGGGCUAGACAAAAUUCCAUGGCCAACAAUAUUGAAUACUUGUUAGCUUAUGAAAUCCAAAGAAUAACCAGAGUAUAUGACUUUUCCAGAGAAGAAAGAAGCCAGAUCAUCGAAUCUCACUGACAAGAACAAAGCUCGGCGCGGGGGAAAAGGUUCUGCCUUAUAGAGGGUCUCUAUCAGCCCAAAGUCACUAACUUUAGCCAUUGAUGUUUAGAGAAGAGGUGCGCCCGCUAUGUUAAGUCUAGUAACUCUCCAAAGCUCAAAUGGAAUUAAUGUCAUAAUCGACUGAUGAGUGAUAGAGGUCUUACCCUUCUUUCUGGAUGAAUCGGUAAAAGUGACUUCUUUCUUUUCUUUCCUUUUGGCUCUUAGGAGUUUAGCUGGGUUCCAUUGCACUCUGUAGGAAGUCCACGUAGCAAACCGAGGCCCUGCGUGCGCCGCCGACGAAUAAUAGCCCACUACCCCAAGGCAAGGCAGAUUUAGUGAGCCGUGUAAUAGGCGACCAUUUCGCGCGGUUCGGGGGGCAUUUUCAUAAGCCUAGACACCUGGCAGCUUACCCCUAUCCCAUUUUUGGGCCAAUUCCCCCUUCGUACUACCACAAAAUGAGAUUCUUGCCGAAUCCGAGUUUGCUGUUCCAACCAUUACAAAACUCAUACCUAUUAUGUUUAGUACUUCAGGUGCUUCUCUAGCGUAUAAUGUCAAUCCAGUAGCGGAUCAAUUCCAACUUCAAACAAGUACUUUUAGUAAUCGACUCUAUUGCUUCUUCAAUAAACGCUGGUUCUUCGAUCAAGUUUUUCAUGACUUUCUAUUAAGAGCGUUCCUUCGUUUCGGAUAUUCAGUCUCAUUCGAAGCUUUAGACAAGGGUGCUAUUGAGAUACUUGGUCCUUAUGGUGUCUCGUACACAUUCCGAGGAUUGGCCGAGCGAAUAAGUCAACUUCAAAGUGGAUUUGUUGUGCGAAGAGUUCGUUAUGAACCGUGGCCGCUUCCCUGAGGUGGGGGCGGCUCCUCCGUUGUGGGUAAACGGUCAACCCUACUCUACGAACCCGAGGAAAGGCAGCACAGCUUCCAUAAGGGCGUUAAGACCGGAGGCUUUUCUAGUGCUAGCAGGAAUGCAAGUGAAUGAAUCCCAUCCAUCCCCUUGCCAGCUUUCAAAUCCGCGAGCGCGGCAACACAGGACUUAGGGGGCUUGCUGUCUACUUCGCGAGCCUUCAAUACCUCCUUAUGUCACUUCCCUUCUUUCGUCCGUCCACGAGGCAGUCAAAAAACAGAGAACGAAUGGGGGCGACUAUAACGCUGGAGUCGUUAGGUUGUAUGCCACGAGGUCCCUAGAGACAAUGGGACAAGUUCAUCGGGCGCAGGCAGCCCUCUACCAUCCAUCCCAUUUCAUUACUAUAGUGAUUUAAGUACUGUACUAUCUCUGACCAGAUACAUCUAUAGAGAGAGAAGAGAUAGUUCGGAUUGAUUAUAGUUUCAUCCUAAUUUGGAUAUUCUAUAGAUAGUAUGGAAUCCCUAUUCAUUCCGUUAUUCCCGUAACUAUGGAUUCAUUGUCCUUAUCUAACUACAUGGUUUAGUGGUUGGUCUAGGGAGCGCAAUUGCUAGAGCACGGGAGAAUUAGGAGUAAUGAUUUAAGCAAGAGCAGCCGGACGGACUACUAUAGUGAGUCUAGUGACAGAAGAGUCCGAAUGUCAGGUAUAGCAUCCGAGCGAGCCUCUGGGAUUUCCUGUAAACCCCCAUUAUGUGGUAAAGGGAGGAUAUUAGGGGAAGCAGUGAGUAUAGAUUCCCCUGCAGAGAGCCGGAUGAGGGGAGACCCUCACGUCCGGUUCGGAGGGCGGGUAUAUCCCGACCCUAC